CCGCGCGGGCGGCCGCCGAGGGAGCGCCUGGCUUCGUGAGCAUCUGCAAGUCUGGAGGAGUGAGAGGUCCCUUCUGGACAUUAAGAUGUGGAUUUGAAAUGACUGGACAACUUCCUCAAGGACCAAAGAUUGAAUCAAGGUCUCACUGAUACUAAGCCAGGGCUACUUCUAGGACUCCAGACGUCCUCCCUGUGGCCGCAAAAGAAGCACAGAAGCUACUUUGGCCUGAGUAAAGAGCCUCCUGUGUCCUCACACUUCCUCAUCAAGAAGACUUGAGGGAGUUCACUCAACUUCCCAGAUGUAUGGAUUUAAGGGCAGGACUGUCACUACGAAAAUUCCAGUAUACAUGCCUACCUUGGAGAAAUUGCAGGUUUGGUUCCAGACCUCCUCAAUAAAGCAAGUGUCGCAACAGAGCAAGUCAGAAUCUUUCUGCUGGUGGAGAGUCUCACCUUCAAUUUGUAAAAAACACAACAUCUGUGAAGCGCAAUAAAGAAAGCACAAUAAAGUGAGGUGUGCCUUACAGCCAUUUUAAUUAGGAAAUUAACACCGACCUUUGCGCCUCUAACCUCAUUCAGGUUUCCUCAAUUACCUAAUAGUGGCCUUUAUAGCAAAGGAUCCAGUCCCAAAUUAUGUGUUGAAUUUAGUGAUGUCUCUUUAGUCACCUUUAAUAUGAGUCAGUACGUCAGCAUUUGCUUAACUUUCGUGAUUUUAAUGCUUUGGAAAAUCACAGGUCAGCAGUUUUGUCCCUUAAUUGGGGUUUGUGGUAGCUAAACUCCGAGAUGGUCAGCAAUGAUCCUCUUCUCCUGGUAUUCACACCCUUCGGUGUAGUCCCCUCCCACUCGGAACCAGAAGUGGCGUGGCCAGGAGACUAGUGAAGAAGUGACGGUAUGUGUCUACAGCAG